rnacentral:misc_RNA from 1 species
UAGAUGAUGAAAGCUCUAUUUUGAAUUAGAUUAACACUCCUGUAUAUGAUGAGGCAAAACAAAGUGUCCCACACGCCAUAUUGCAAAGAAAGCGAGUCAUUAUGCAGUUUGAAACUUCUCAAGACUGGUAAACUCUUUCAUCUCGUCGGGUGAAUGCUAGAAUUUCCUGAAUCCAUUGGAAUUUCUCCACCAUUUGGGUUCUGUGGAUUGGCAAUGAUGCAGCUCUCAGAAGCAUUGUCUUGAUCAUGGCCAGCUCCAAACUGGAAUUCAGCUGGUGGAACGUCCAAAGGUUGCAUAAAAAUGUAGGUAGGGUUGAUGCUGUUGAAAGCAGGAACAAGAACUGGAUCAUUAACCUUUGUAAACCCAAAGUUAAUAGGGAAAAUUGGCAAUGCAGGCUUGUUGCCAUUAGAAGGCCCAAACAUUUUUUGCUCGUAUUCCUGCAACUGCUGGUACACAGCUUGGGUCAAGUCAACCGAUGGUCUCCGCUCUUUCACCCACUGGAAACUUUGUGCAAGCGUCCAUCCUUUGGACUUCAUUAAGUAAGCUAUCACAAUAGCUGGAGACCUAUUUUUUCCUGACAUGCAGUGCACAAGAACACGGGCCUUAUCCUUUUCACAUUGCUCUAAAAAUUGAUUUGCAUCUUCAAAUUGUAAAAUUUUGUCAUCUUGCAGGGAAUGAUAGGUGAAAGAAUUCUUGUACAUAUUUUGACAAUCCGGAACUGUAUUGAGAACACGAGAAAUCCCCUGGGUUUUGAGGAGCUCAGAGCGAGUGGCGUUAUCGUAACUUCCCAAAUAGAGGAACUCCGGCAGGAUCUCAGAAGGGAAAGCGCUAACACGCAGCGGAGAUUUCUCAGCAGAUACGGGCAUCCGGUGGCCGCAAAUCCCACAAAUCUCCCCUUGCUCGUACUUGUGAUAGUGGCCGCAAACACCACAUGGGUUCUCUCGCUCCCUCUUCCUCAUCAGCAAACCAAUCAGAAAAUCAAGAAACCAACCAGGAAAUGAAGAAACGAAAACCAAGAAAUCAAGAAACAGGCAAAGAUUGACUGGAAUGAUAAAAAAAAAUAAAAAAGAAGAUUUGGGUGAUGG